AGCAAGAGCCGCCCAGUCAUACAAGGCAAAGUUUCAGGGCUGAGAAUGCCCUGUGGGGCCGACCAAUGAGAGAUAUGAUGCUGGAAAGAACCAGCAGAUAAAUGGUUUACCCCUAGUCCUCCUAUAAUGGUUGUUUUGAGAUGCAGCAUAUGGCCUCUCAGAUGUCCCAUCAGACAAAGCAGUCGGCUGUGCCUUCUGCGACGCUGUGGUCGGCCUGGUAAAGUGUAAUCUCCUUCCCUUGGAAUCUAAGCCAGCCUUAGCUACUUACUUGACCAACAAAAGGCCAUAGAAGUGAGCCUUGCAUCUUCUGACUUGAUCUUUGAUAGCACUUGCUUUUAAAGCCCUGAGCUGCCAUGUGAGAAGUCCAGCUACCCUGAGACCACCCUGCUGUGAAGAAGCCCAAACCAGCCACGAGGAAAAAGAAAGCAAUCCUGACCACCAGCUAAAAGGAAAGCAAUCCUGACCACCAGCUGUUCCAGCCACCUCACUGCAGGAGUCAGGCAUGUAAAUGAACUUAUCUGGGAUGCUCCAGACCAGACCAGCUAUCCCCAGCCCCUCGUUGAUGCCAUGUGGAACCAAAAAAGCCAACCAGCUGAACCCUGCCUGAAUUCCAUAGCUCAUGAAAAUCACGUGAUAUAAUAAAAUGGUUCUUCUGUUAA